AGGACGAACGCUGGCGGCGUGCUUAACACAUGCAAGUCGAGCGGAAAGGCCCUUCGGGGUACUCGAGCGGCGAACGGGUGAGUAACACGUGAGUAAUCUGCCCCUAGCUCUGGGAUAGCUCCGGGAAACCGGGAUUAAUACCGGAUACGACCCCUUCGGACAUCUGAAGGGGUGGAAAGAUUUAUCGGUUAGGGAUGAGCUCGCGGCCUAUCAGCUUGUUGGUGGGGUAACGGCCCACCAAGGCGACGACGGGUAGCCGGCCUGAGAGGGCGACCGGCCACACUGGGACUGAGACACGGCCCAGACUCCUACGGGAGGUAGCAGUGGGGAAUAUUGCGCAAUGGGCGAAAGCCUGACGCAGCGACGCCGCGUGGGGGAUGAAGGCCUUCGGGUUGUAAACCCCUUUCAGCAGGGACGAAGCGAAAGUGACGGUACCUGCAGAAGAAGCGCCGGCUAACUACGUGCCAGCAGCCGCGGUAACACGUAGGGCGCAAGCGUUGUCCGGAAUUAUUGGGCGUAAAGGGUGUGUAGGCGGUCGCCUAAGUUUGGUGUGAAAUCUCCCGGCUCAGCCGGGAGGGUGCGCCGAAUACUGAGUGACUAGAGUGUGGGAGAGGAAAGUGGAAUUCCUGGUGUAGCGGUGAAAUGCGUAGAUAUCAGGAGGAACACCGGCGGUGUAGACGGCUUUCUGGACCAUAACUGACGCUGAAACACGAAAGCGUGGGUAGCAAACAGGAUUAGAUACCCUGGUAGUCCACGCCCUAAACGAUGCAUAUUUGGUGUGGGUCAUUCAGUUGAUCCGUGCCGGAGCUAACGCGUUAAAUAUGCCGCCUGGGGAGUACAGUCGCAAGGCUGAA
rnacentral:rRNA from 1 species